AAGUGGACGGAAGAAAGCAGCAACAUCAGAAGAAAUGGUUCGAAAAGUAAAGAAGCGACUUUAUCGAAACGCGCGUCGCAGUGGCCGAAAAAUGCUCGGUGAGCUGAACAUAUCGCAAAUAUUGAAAAAUGAGCUCGGGGUAAAGCCAUUGAAAUUCCAAAAGGUGCAAGAACUUACACCGCAGCAGAAAGAAAAUAGACUCAAAAGAGCUAAAGUGUAGCUUCGAUUGGCCGAAAGUGGUGAACUGCUGAAUUUGGUAUUCUCCGAUGAGAAAACAUUCGUUGUCCAGCAGUUUGUAAACAAACAAAAUUAUCGUGUUUACUUGCCAAAGAGGUCAGCUGAAAAUGGGCACUUUCGGUUGGCCACCAGAACACCAGCGCCGAGGGUGUAUUAAAGCCUUGAGCACGCAAACAUUUUCGCCGCAGACCUUGGACAUUCCAACAUGACUCAGCACAAUCGCACUCAGUACGCGCCACCCAAGAAUGGUUACAAAAUGAGGUUCUGCCUUCAUUUCCAAAAUCUCCGGAUACCAAUCCGUUGGACUAUUUUGUCUAGAGUAUUUUGGAAAGCAAGGUUGGCCCGUAAAAAUACCAAAGUGUUGAUCACCUCAAGCAAGCGCUUCGCCGGUAAUGGACCAAAAUACCGCAGAGAAACAUUUGCGCAGCGUGUGACGGUUG